rnacentral:pre_miRNA from 1 species
AUUGAGAUAGCUGGGUCAAAUUGUGGUUCCAUCCCAGGUUUUCUAAGGAAUUUCCAAACUGCUUUCCAUAGUGGUUGCACCAAUUUGCAGUCCCACCAACAAU